rnacentral:rRNA from 1 species
UACAGAGGUCUCAACCGUUGUUCGGAUUCAUUGGGCGUAAAGGGUGCGUAGGCGGUCGCGCAAGUCGGAUGUGAAAUCUCAGGGCUCAACCCUGAAACUGCAUUCGAUACUGCGUGGCUAGAGUGCUGGAGAGGAGACUGGAAUUUACGGUGUAGCAGUGAAAUGCGCAGAUAUCAGGAGGAACACCAGCGGCGAAGGCGGCGCUCUGGGCCGGUACUGACGCUGAGGAGCGAAAGCGUGGGUAGCAAACAGG